AUGAAUGAUCCAAACUGCCCGAUUAUGAGUUGGAAUGUGCGGGGCUUGAACUCGCCGGCCCGGCGAGAAGUAGUUUUGGAGACGGCGGAGGCACAUAAGCCGGCCAUUCUUUGCCUUCAGGAAACAAAAAUCGAUGAGUGGAGCAGGGCUCUAGUUAGGGAAACCGGUGGAGCGCGGCUCGCCGACUGCGCCGUCCUCCCUGCCAUGGGCACAAGGGGAGGCAUCGCCAUCUUCUGGGACAGUAACCGAGUAGAAGUGCUCUCGCAAGCCGUGGGGUGCUUCUCAAACACCGCAAAGAUUACCAUCAUCGCAAGCAGGGCUACAUUUUGGCUCACGACA
rnacentral:rRNA from 1 species